rnacentral:rRNA from 1 species
GACGAACGCUGGCGGCGUGCUUAACACAUGCAAGUCGAGCGGAAAGGCCCUUUCGGGGGUACUCGAGCGGCGAACGGGUGAGUAACACGUGAGUAAUCUGCCUCUGGCUUCGGGAUAGCCACCGGAAACGGUGAUUAAUACCGGAUAUGACGCAUCACUGCAUGGUGUGUGCGUGGAAAGUUUUUUCGGCCAGGGAUGUGCUCGCGGCCUAUCAGCUUGUUGGUGGGAUAAUGGCCUACCAAGGCUUCGACGGGUAGCCGGCCGGAGAGGGUGACCGGCCACACUGGGACUGAGACACGGCCCAGACUCCUACGGGAGGCAGCAGUGGGGAAUAUUGGACAAUGGGCGGAAGCCUGAUCCAGCAACGCCGCGUGAGGGAUGACGGCCUUCGGGUUGUAAACCUCUUUCAGCACAGACGAAGCGCAAGUGACGGUAUGUGCAGAAGAAGGACCGGCCAACUACGUGCCAGCAGCCGCAGUAAUAC